CGCUGCCACAGCCGCUGGAGAGGAGCUCCGGGAGGACGGUGGCCCGCGAGGCUCCUCGCAGACAAGGCGGUGGCGAUGUCCGGGAGCCAGGCGACACAAAGUAAUAAUUGUUGGGCUGGAUAAUGCAGGGAAAACUACCAUCCUUUACCAAUUUUCUAUGAAUGAAGUGGUACAUACAUCCCCUACAAUAGGAAGUAAUGUAGAAGAGAUAGUGGUUAAUAAUACACGUUUCCUAAUGUGGGAUAUUGGUGGCCAAGAAUCUCUUCGUUCUUCCUGGAACACUUACUAUACAAACACGAACUUUGUAUAGUGGUUGUGGACAAUACAGCAGAGAAAGGAUUUCUAUAACUAGAGAAGAACUCUAUAAAAUGUUAGCACAUGAGGACCUAAGGAAAGCUGGAUUGCUGAUUUUCGCUAAUAAACAAGAUGUUAAAGAAUGCAUGACUGUAGCAGAAAUCUCCCAGUUUUUGAAAUUCACUUCUUUUAAAGAUCAUCAAUGGCAUAUUCAGGCAUGCUGUGGCCUUACUGGUGAGGGACUGUGCCAAGGACUUGAAUGGAAGAUGUCACGACUUAAGAUUAGAUGAUUUCUACUGACCUCUUCUUAUAGACUUUGUGUAAAUGAAGUGCUGGACUUUAUCUGAAAGCUGCAACAAUUAAUGGUUUAGAUAUAUUUAUAAUAAACUGAUUUAAAUUUUUUUCUAGAAGAAAAAUUAAGACCACUUAUUUGAAAACAAAGAUGAAGAAUCACCUUCCAGUUUGCUUUCUCAUUUGUUCCUUCCAAAGUCAGGUCUUGAAAGCUGUGAUUGACUUUUUUCUCAUAAUGAAUCCUCUCAGGACGUUGUGUAGCCUGUGGUAAGUACAAAGGGAGAGGAGAAUAUUUUUACUUUUGAGAACUUUAUCAUCAAUAUAACCCUUCCCUAGUUGAAUGUUGUUCUCUUCUUAUUCCAUUAAGUCAAAAUACAAAUCAGCACAGACACUCAGUUUCCAAUAUUUUAAAAUGUAAUGUUGCUAUUGAAAAGUCUUUUAUAUUAAGAUUGUGUAUGUAUUGUAUAUAUACCUCAAGUUCAAAUUAAUGGCUUUGACUUACAUUACAAGGAAAAGUAAAUAAUACAAAACCUAAUGAUAGCCUUAAUUAUAACCAUGGUGACAUGAGUACUGGCAUUGGUGUUGUCAUUUUGUGUUUUUCUCUUUAUGUUCUCUGUAUUGUACUAACCAAUCCUAAAAAUCAUCAAACUGCUUUAAAAGAAAGGUAGAAGAGGAAGAAAGCUUGAUAUUUUUGUACAUGUUUUCUUAUUGAUCAAAUAACUUACAGAAACGUGUAAUACAACUGAGUGGAAUAUAUAUCAAAUAUAUCAAAUCCUUGGCUUAGUGUUACUAAUGGGCAGAAUUGCACAGUGAGCAAUUAUCAAAUUAUUGCUUUUAUUGGUCCAUUGCCACGUAUAUUACUGAAUAAACUGUUAAUCCAUUAA